CACACCUGUCUUCAUCCUUCCCCUGCAGGGCUGCAGCAAAGCAGGAGCAGAGGGGCAGUGCCCUCCCUCCCCACCUCCUGGAGGCUGGCUCAGGGCCCAGGUCCCUGCUGCCAGGAGAGGGAUGUCCCUGCUCCACCACAGAUCCCACACGCUCCUGGCUCGCUCUGGGCUCCUGACUCACAGUCACACACAGUGCCCGUGCUCCGGGCUUAGCAAAGGCCAAGUCACUUGGGAAGCCCCUGUGGGCCCCUGGAAAUAUCAGGAAUGCAGAUUGAUGAAAAUCCAUCAAACAGCUGCCUGGAGGUGUUUUCCUCAAGCUGCACCAGUGAGCAGACAGAAGGACAGGGACAUAUUUUCGAGGCAGAAAACCAAGGGGUCAGCUCCUACUGACCCUGCAGCUCCCACCAGCACAGGCCGGGUGGCAGGUGGCUGGGCAUGGCCAGGGUGAGCUGGGAUCACAGCACAGCCCCUGCAGAGGUUCUGAGCAUCCCUGGACACGUCAUCCUUGUGAGCCCAGACCAGAGAAGGACACCUGGCAGGGCUCCUCCUUCCCUGCACAAGAACCAGGGUCUCUGAGGAGCCUGUCACUGGGCUUGGCCAGUUGGGUCAUGGGCAUGUUCCUGACCUUCGAGUGCUGGAUCAAAGGAAAAACAGCCAGCCCAACCUAAUCUGAUUUCAUUGAGACCACAACUGACACAAACGGGAGUUGGCCAUUUGCAUCUGGGAUGUGAUGCAGGUGAAUUCCUUGUGCAAGUUGCCCCACUAACCUUUCACAGAUUGAUGCUGUUUUGGAAAAUGCAAACCAUCACUACAUCUGCAAAUCCAGAAUCUCCAUGGCUGAAGGGGGGGAAUUUAGAGAAGUCAUGUGGCAGAAAAUAGGUUUGAGCUGUUUUUGCGAAGAAACUGCCUGAAGUGUUGAAAUUGGAAGGUUCCUGGAGAGCUUGGAAAGUCAGAUUUUGACUGUAAGCAUAAUCAAAGUGAAGUCUCAUUUCGUAAUUGAAAAGACGAAACUGUCAAAACUCUUUGGAUUUAUGGCUACUGGAAACCACCGUCCAAUUAUUUUCUAAAUUGGUUGUCUCCAAAAUCAAAAGAAAGCUCUAAAGCUCUGUCUUUGCAGAGAUUUUGCUAAAGAAGGAAAGCACAGUUCUUGGGAUUGAAAUUUGAUUUGUUUUCUCAGGGAUUGGGUGACUUUUUUUCCAGUACAACAGAAAUUGUACAGAUGUCAGUACCAUGGGAAAUGGAAAAUGUUUUAUAAGAGUUAACUCACUAUUUUCCUAAGUUUUCCUUCAUGGAUUUGAAGACCAUGUUCUGAGCAGACCCAUGACUAAGUCACUUCUUAGAGUCUUUGCAGAUAAAAUCUGGCCCUUGCAUGACACAAAGUGAAGAAGUCUUGAGAAGUGCCCUGGCCCCAGCAGGGUCUGCCGUGAGCAGAUGGAGCAGCAGACCCGGGGCUGCUCUGCCCUGUGAGCACUGAGCUGCCUUGGGCACGUUCUGCCUCUGCUUCCUGCAGUCCCCAUCUCACACCCUCUGUUCAUUUUCAUUGGGAAGGAGGUGAUCAAUCCUCCUAGCCCUGGGCUGUUGCUCCAAGCACACCAGUCAAAGCAGAAAAGACUCAGUGACAGAUUCCCAGCCAUUGGAUGGUGAUUGGGAGUGAUGAUUAAAGAACAUGGAGCAAUGCAGUGCCAGAGAUAUUGCAUAUGCCUUCAGGAUAAAGCUGAAUGGUUCCAAACUGGAAAUUGUACUGUUUUCUCUUGCCAGAAAACAUUUGCAAUUUUGAAUCCAUCUUUUAUCCUGACUGGUCAAAUAUGUGUAUCCACAGAAAUCUGUGCUUGCAGCCCCAACCAGCUCUGAGAACUGCACUGCAGGAACUGUCACUCCCAGCUGGAUCCAGGGGGUGAACACAGCCUGUAGGUGCGAGAUGGUCAGCAGGUUUUUGGUGUCUAUAAAUACAGGUAUUGUAUAUGUACCUGCUCAAUAAAUAUAUAUCUGCAGUCUUUUGGUCCUACAGUGAUGAACCACCUCAAAACAAUCCCCUAUCGAGUGCAGCCUGGAGACACUAAAGCCUUCUGUGUGCCACAUCCCAGCCUGGAAACCACAACUGUUUCAUUUUCCAGCUCUAACACUCCUGACCUCUCCCAGCCUUUCGUACACUCCCGAGACUCAUACUUUUCUCAGGAUCACAGUGAGCUUGUGUUUUUCAUUCUCAUGUGAUUAAUAAAUUAUGCU